rnacentral:snoRNA from 1 species
AAGCACUUCCAUGUAUUCUCUUUUAAUUUCAUAUAGUUGAAAGAUAAAAUAGAAGUGCUAUAGUAAAUAGAAAGAUAAUUAGCAAAGCAAGCUGUGUGUACUUGACUUUGUCAGUCCCUUUCUGACAAUA